rnacentral:rRNA from 1 species
GAUGAACGCUAGCGGCAGGCUUAAUACAUGCAAGUCGUGGGGCAGCAUGAAUGUAGCAAUACAUUUGAUGGCGACCGGCAAACGGGUGCGGAACACGUACACAACCUUCCUAUAAGUGGGGAAUAGCCCAGAGAAAUUUGGAUUAAUACCCCGUAACAUAAUGAUGUGGCAUAACAUUAUUAUUAUAGCUACGGGGCUUAUUGAUGGGUGUGCGGCUGAUUAGAUAGUUGGCGGGGUAACGGCCCACCAAGUCUACGAUCAGUAGCUGAUGUGAGAGCAUGAUCAGCCACACGGGCACUGAGACACGGGCCCGACUCCUACGGGAGGCAGCAGUAAGGAAUAUUGGUCAAUGGACGCAAGUCUGAACCAGCCAUUCCGCGUGCAGGAAGAAGGGUCUCUGACUUGUAAACUGCUUUAGCAAGGGAAGAAAAAGCUCAUGCGUGAGAAAUUGACGGUACCUUGAGAAUAAGCACCGGCUAACUACGUGCCAGCAGCCGCCGUAAUAC